UCUCCUUUCGGGCCAAACCUUUGCGCUCUCAAUUAGCAACCGUUCAAUUAACAAUAAUCCGUUCAAUCAGCCAUCUGCCAUUUCCGUCCAAACCCUUUUCCGAUUCCAAUUUUCCCAAAUCACAUAUAAUGGUCGAUCGCUGUCGUCGCUACUGCUUUACUGCUUUACUCUUUCAACAAACCCAGGUAUUUGACAAUUUCAUAAUGCGCCUCUGGUCAGUACUCCAGGUUUAUCUCCAGCAUUUGGAAGGUUUCUACAUUUUAUCAUCUAAUUAAGGAAGGAUAUGAACAGGUCAUAAUAUAUUGAUUUGAUUGUGUUCUCAUGAGGGAGCCAUUUGCUGAGAUUAACAACCUGUUCCUGAGCCAAAGGGAGCCAUUGAUUCAUUGACAGUAUUGACGUAAAAGUUUGGAAGGAGAGGUAGCGACAUGAAGACUACUUUAAGAGAGCUGUGGAGCUGAAGGAUGCAGAGGCCUUGAACAAAUGCACAAACUUCCUUUGGUAGGUGAAGAAUGAUCUUUGGGCUGCCGAGGAAACCUACUUGGAAACCAUUGAAUAAUGAAGUUUCCACGUGCUGAAGCGUUUAGUGCAAUGGCAAACUUUUUGAGUUGGCCAACGAUGCUCUUAGAAUUAUUUAGAUAUACUCUACAUAUUGACAUAUUUUAUUAAAUUUUACUCAAUAUUUUUUUUAUUGAAAUUAUGGAAAAUAUAAUUGAUGGUAAUCAUGUCAAUAAACAAUUUAAAAUAGUAAAUAGACUGCUUUAAU